rnacentral:rRNA from 1 species
CCUACGGGAGGCAGCAGUGGGGAAUAUUGCACAAUGGGGGGAACCCUGAUGCAGCGACGCCGCGUGAAGGAAGAAGUAUUUCGGUAUGUAAACCUCUAUCAGCAGGGAAGAAAAUGACGGUACCUGACUAAGAAGCCCCGGCUAACUACGUGCCAGCAGCCGCGGUAAUACGUAGGGGGCAAGCGUUAUCCGGAUUUACUGGGUGUAAAGGGAGCGUAGGCGGCAGUGCAAGUCAGAAGUGAAAGGCCAAGGCCCAACCAUGGGACUGCUUUUGAAACUGUACAGCUAGAGUGCAGGAGAGGUAAGUGGAAUUCCUGGUGUAGCGGUGAAAUGCGUAGAUAUUAGGAGGAACACCAGUGGCGAAGGCGGCUUACUGGACUGUAAAUGACGCUGAGGCUCGAAAGCGUGGGGAGCAAACAGGAUUAGAUACCCGAGUAGUC